rnacentral:rRNA from 1 species
ACGUAGGGUGCGAGCGUUAAUCGGAAUUACUGGGCGUAAAGCGUGCGCAGGCGGUUAUAUAAGACAGAUGUGAAAUCCCCGGGCUCAACCUGGGAACUGCGUUUGUGACUGUAUGACUAGAGUACGGCAGAGGGAGGUGGAAUUCCGCGUGUAGCAGUGAAAUGCGUAGAUAUGCGGAGGAACACCGAUGGCGAAGGCAGCCUCCUGGGCCAGUACUGACGCUCAUGCACGAAAGCGUGGGGAGCAAACAGG